UCUAGCAGCAAUUCUAGGGAUUUUGGUUGAUGUGCCUGUUAUAACUUUAAUAGUUCUGUAUAAAGCGCCUAUAUUACUGUUCAAAGGGUGGCACCGGCUAAUACAAGAUCUUACUGGGAGGGCAGGCCCAUUUUUGGAAACUGUUUGUGUUCCAUUUGCUGGGUUUUGGAUUCUGUUGUGGCCAAUUGUGGUUCUGCUGGCAACUUUGACAGGCAUGAUUUCAAGUUUUGGGUUUGGCUGUUAUGCUACAGUUGUUGCAUAUCAGGAAAAUUCUACUAAGAGGGGAUUGCUUUAUGUGAUUGCUUCUGCAUCUGUAUUUGAUGAGUACACCAAUGAUUUGCUGUACCUGCAAGAAGGUUCAUGCUUCCCCAGACCUAAAUAUCACGAACGAGUUAGUCCCAG
rnacentral:misc_RNA from 1 species